GACGAACGCUGGCGGCGUGCUUAACACAUGCAAGUCGAACGCUGAAGCUCAGCUUUUGUUGGGUGGAUGAGUGGCGAACGGGUGAGUAACACGUGAGUAACCUGCCCCCUUCUUUGGGAUAACGCCCGGAAACGGGUGCUAAUACUGGAUAUUCACUGGUCUUCGCAUGGGGGUUGGUGGAAAGGGUUUUUCUGGUGGGGGAUGGGCUCGCGGCCUAUCAGCUUGUUGGUGGGGUGAUGGCCUACCAAGGCUUUGACGGGUAGCCGGCCUGAGAGGGUGACCGGUCACAUUGGGACUGAGAUACGGCCCAGACUCCUACGGGAGGCAGCAGUGGGGAAUAUUGCACAAUGGGCGCAAGCCUGAUGCAGCGACGCCGCGUGAGGGAUGGAGGCCUUCGGGUUGUGAACCUCUUUCGCUCAUGGUCAAGCCGCAACAAUGGUUGUGAUGAGGGUAGUGGGUAAAGAAGCGCCGGCUAACUACGUG
rnacentral:rRNA from 1 species